GCGUAGGAUGGGCCAGCAGCCGCGGUAAUACGGGGGUGGGAAGCGUUGUCCGGAUUGACUGGGCGUAAAGGGCGUGCAGGCGGGUGGGUAAGUCUAGGGUGAAAGCUCCCGGCUCAACUGGGAGAGGUCCUUGGAUACUGGCAGACUUGAGGAGGGUAGAGGAGAGUGGAAUUCCCGGUGUAGUGGUGAUAUGCGUAGAUAUCGGGAGGAACACCAGUGGCGAAGGCGGCUCUCUGGGCCCUACCUGACGCUGAUACGCGAAAGCGUGGGGAGCGAACCGGAUUAGAUACCCCAGUAGUC
rnacentral:rRNA from 1 species